UACGAAGGGGGCUAGCGUUGCUCGGAAUUACUGGGCGUAAAGGGCGCGUAGGCGGCACUGUUAGUCAGGCGUGAAAUUCCUGGGCUCAACCUGGGGACUGCGCUUGAUACGGCAGAGCUAGAGGAUGGAGAGGCUCGCGGAAUUCCCAGUGUAGAGGUGAAAUUCGUAGAUAUUGGGAAGAACACCGGAUGGCGAAGGCGG
rnacentral:rRNA from 1 species